AACAAAUUUUUUAUAGAUAUUUAAAAGAAAAAUUUAAAUUCGGUUUUUUCAAAAAUAAAGUUGCAAAUAAAAAGAAAUUUAUUUAUAUUUCUAAGCGAACUUAAAGCCUUUCUUAGAAGCUACAUUACUAUUAUUGGAACAGCUUGUUAUAACAUAUUUUAUUUUCCAUUUCUAACUAUAGAAUACACUUUCAAAGUGUGGUUAGAAAACCAUAAGAUAUCCAGUACAUUUUUCCAUUUUGAAACUGUAAUUCAAUCUUCCUGGAAAGACAAGUAUGGCACGUAUAGUUUAGAAAAGUUUAGAAAAGCAUUUCCCCAGUUAAGUCUCUAAACAAAAAGACAAGUUGCUUCGGUGCAACUUGUUUCGCUCGUUCAAAGCGGUACCAGCUUUCGAGAUUUCUAAAUGGUCACCUUGAUUUUAAUCGAAUGUAAAAGAUCAAUCGCCAAUAGAUUGUAACCGAUCGAUCGGUUUUCGAAUAUUGUUUCCAGUCGAGUGGAGUCGUUGAGGUUUAUGGUGGAAAGUAAGGAAGUAAAACGCAGCGGGUAUUGUGUUAAUAUGAUUAGCGGUGACAUGCUGAACAUAGAAACUGAUUUGUCUCUUGCGGUUGAAAAAGGUUGAAUAGUGUUAAUUCUUAAAAGGCGAGAAACUCUUAAGUAAUCAUUCAAACAAUACAAAGAUACCUAAGUGCACGUACGUGUCACAUGCUUUUUUUUAUUGUAUACUCGUCUACACAAAUAUUCGUAUUUAUACAUUUAUUAAGUCGACAAUUUUGCAAAAAUAAUAAUCUUUUUGGUGUAACGUUGUAGUAAUAUUUUUAAUGCAAAUAGAGAAAAAAUAAUAGUAAGUUUAAGUUAUUUUCUAAGAAUUUAAAAAUUUGGUUUAAAUGUUUUUUAGAAAGUAAUCGAUUUAGAUGUAUGUUCAAAAAUGAAAGUGAAAGCAGAGCGAGAAAGUGGAAUAGUUUUUCCACUGCUAUCACCAUGUUUUUCAAUGUGUUUAAUAAGACAUAACAAACUUUAGAAAAAUAAUUUCCUUUAGAAUGCUUUAGAUAAAAUCGCAAGCUAUACUUCCAUAAUUUAUAUCACUCCUCCAACAGCUAUAUUGAUUAAUUUUGCAUAAAGUGAAAAUAAUAUAAGACCAUAUUAAGAAAUUAUUUAAAAUGAAAAGUAUGUACUGACUUUUAAGACUUACUAAAAUUAGAGCUAAAUACAUUUAAAGCAAAAAAUAUUGCAAAUAGUAAUAGUAAUAGUAAUUGAAAUACUUUUAUUAAGAUAAAAUAACAUCAAUUAUUAAUCCAAGUGAGAACCAAUAGAAUCAAUAAUCUUUUGUCAUAUUUCUAAUAACAUUUCAAUCUUUUUGCACCAGAAGUUACAGAAUAAUUUGAAGCAAAACACACCUAAAGAUCAUUCAUUCAAUUUUCUAGUCUAAUAAUUCAGGGAUCAAUAUGAAUUUUAAUUUUAUCCUGAAAGUAUUUUUGUUAUAAUAAGAAAAGAAAUAAGAAUUGUUUCUCACGGCACUCGAUGGAAAGAAAGGAUCGUGCUCGAUCUAUGAUCACGCCCUUCUGUGUGGUAUUUACCUCGAUAUUACUUGCAAUAACGAACUGCUAAGAUUUACUAAGAUGAUUUAUCGUGAACUUUUUCAUUUGUAAAGCCGCAAAGCCAAUUUUGUGAAGCAAUACUUGCUUUAUGGAUAAAUCAGCUUUACACGAAUUGGUUGUUAUCGAAUAUUCAUCGUAAUUAAGGUUUCUAUUCCUUAGAGAUUGUAAUAUUUUUUACUUAAGCAUGAGAAAGUUUCCUACUUGAAAAUGUUAGAACACUUUCUAUUAUAAUUUUAUGACCAUAAAUUGCACCCUACCCAAUAAACAGGAGCGAUUAUUGAAAAAACAAAAGAGAAAAUUUAAAGAUUCAAUUUUGUAGAAAUUUUGAAGAUUUUAACAAAGCAGAAUCAAUUUCUGUAAUCAAUCAACCUUUAAUAUAUAUUUUGCAAUUCUCUAUUUUUUAUGUUUAUUUUGCAAUUUUAUAUUUACACUAAAAAUAACUUUAAAUAUUAUACAUUAAUUAUACGAAAUUUUAAGUUUGUUAUUUAACUAAUUUCAUGAAAUUGGUAGGCUUUGAAAUAUUCGAAGAAGAGCAAUUAAAGGGAUUAUGUUAAACAUGAAAGUAUACGUUAGAUUCUUCACGCUCUUUCAGUAUGUAUGGAAAUAAUAGCUGAAGGGGAGUGUUAAUGAGUGAAUUAAGUACUCAUAAAAAGGCGGAAACUUAGAAAGCGUAGAAUUACAAUCAAGGCAAGAAGCUCGUUCGUGUGCAGUUUUGCAAGCAAAAGAAGAGGCAGAUUGAUAGAAAGGAUCAUGAAUCAAAAUAGAGCACGCAAAUUUUCAAUUCUACUUUCGUAAUGCAUAAAAGUAGCCUUAUUGUUGUGAAAAUAUCCUAGAAAGUAUCAUGUUCGACAGCAAUUCUCAACUAGUGGUAAGUACACGUACCACUUAUGGUACGUGAGAGGCAGCUGUGUGAUAAGUGGAUAAUUUGUGCAAUAUACAGUUUGAGUAAUUUGUUUUAUGUUUAAACGUUGAACAGUGAAUAACAAAAGAUCAUCGAUAAUAGCGACAAUUAUUUUAAUAAUUGGAGUUAUUCUAAUUUUUUAAAAAUUAAUAUUUAAUUAUAAAAUUAACAUUAAAUUAAUUUCUGUAACUAAUAGUCAAUAAUUUGUAUAUUCAAAUUAUUUUCUCGAAGUACACUCGUCAUUAAACAAAAAAUAUCCUAGAAAGGGUUAAGAUUAGGUUUAAAAUAAGGAGGACCCAGCAUCCUCUUUUCUUUUACCCCCUGUUAUAUUUAUAAUUGUUAUCUCCAUCCACCUAUCAUAGCUUUCGACGGAUGUCUUUAAUCGAUGUUUAAUUACUAUUAGAACGAGGACAAGUACAGUGUUUGAGUCAUUUUAUCUCGUUUGAAAGAAACUGUGACGAUGAAUGUCGAGAGAAGGUGGAACAAGUGUUAGGUAGCGAUUCAUAAAACACAUUAGGUAUGUAGGUCUCGGUUUCUCUCGUUAUUAUGAUAUAUUACUGUCAAUAACAGAGAGAUAUAACAGUAUAAGAUAGUUUGAAAACCUUCGCUCAUAAUUAGAAUUAGGAAUAUAAUUUUCCCCUAAAUUAAAAAAAAAAAAAAAA